CAAUGGACGGUACAGAGAGUCGCGAGACCGCGAGGUGGAGCUAAUCUCAAAAAGCCGUUCUCAGUUCGGAUUGCACUCUGCGACUCGAGUGCAUGAAGUUGGAAUCGCUAGUAAUCGCGGAUCAGCACGCCGCGGUGAAUACGUUCCCGGGCCUUGUACACACCGCCCGUCACAUCACGAAAGUCGGUUGCACUAGAAGUCGGUGGGCUAACCCGCAAGGGAGGCAGCCGCCUAAAGUGUGAUCGGUAAUUGGGGUGAAGUCGUAACAAGGUAGCUGUAGGAGAACGUGCGGCUGGAUCACCUCCUU
rnacentral:rRNA from 1 species